rnacentral:pre_miRNA from 1 species
UUGCUACUCCCUCCGUCUGAAAAAGCUUGUUCCUCAAAUGGAUGUAUCUAGCACCAAGUUAGUGCUAGAUACAUCCAUUUGAGGGACAAGCUUUUUUGGAUGGAGGGAGUACAAU